AGAGGCGAUGAAGGACGUGCUAAUCUGCGAUAAGCGUCGGUAAGGUGAUAUGAACCGUUAUAACCGGCGAUUUCCGAAUGGGGAAACCCAGUGUGAUUCGUCACACUAUCAUUAACUGAAUCCAUAGGUUAAUGAGGCGAACCGGGGGAACUGAAACAUCUAAGUACCCCGAGGAAAAGAAAUCAACCGAGAUUCCCCCAGUAGCGGCGAGCGAACGGGGAGCAGCCCAGAGCCUGAAUCAGUGUGUGUGUUAGUGGAAGCGUCUGGAAAGGCGCGCGAUACAGGGUGACAGCCCCGUACACAAAAAUGCACAUGCUGUGAGCUCGAUGAGUAGGGCGGGACACGUGGUAUCCUGUCUGAAUAUGGGGGGACCAUCCUCCAAGGCUAAAUACUCCUGACUGACCGAUAGUGAACCAGUACCGUGAGGGAAAGGCGAAAAGAACCCCGGCGAGGGGAGUGAAAAAGAACCUGAAACCGUGUACGUACAAGCAGUGGGAGCACGCUUAGGCGUGUGACUGCGUACCUUUUGUAUAAUGGGUCAGCGACUUAUAUUCUGUAGCAAGGUUAACCGAAUAGGGGAGCCGAAGGGAAACCGAGUCUUAACUGGGCGUUAAGUUGCAGGGUAUAGACCCGAAACCCGGUGAUCUAGCCAUGGGCAGGUUGAAGGUUGGGUAACACUAACUGGAGGACCGAACCGACUAAUGUUGAAAAAUUAGCGGAUGACUUGUGGCUGGGGGUGAAAGGCCAAUCAAACCGGGAGAUAGCUGGUUCUCCCCGAAAGCUAUUUAGGUAGCGCCUCGUGAAUUCAUCUCCGGGGGUAGAGCACUGUUUCGGCAAGGGGGUCAUCCCGACUUACCAACCCGAUGCAAACUGCGAAUACCGGAGAAUGUUAUCACGGGAGACACACGGCGGGUGCUAACGUCCGUCGUGAAGAGGGAAACAACCCAGACCGCCAGCUAAGGUCCCAAAGUCAUGGUUAAGUGGGAAACGAUGUGGGAAGGCCCAGACAGCCAGGAUGUUGGCUUAGAAGCAGCCAUCAUUUAAAGAAAGCGUAAUAGCUCACUGGUCGAGUCGGCCUGCGCGGAAGAUGUAACGGGGCUAAACCAUGCACCGAAGCUGCGGCAGCGACGCUGAUGCGUUGUUGGGUAGGGGAGCGUUCUGUAAGCCUGCGAAGGUGUGCUGUGAGGCAUGCUGGAGGUAUCAGAAGUGCGAAUGCUGACAUAAGUAACGAUAAAGCGGGUGAAAAGCCCGCUCGCCGGAAGACCAAGGGUUCCUGUCCAACGUUAAUCGGGGCAGGGUGAGUCGACCCCUAAGGCGAGGCCGAAAGGCGUAGUCGAUGGGAAACAGGUUAAUAUUCCUGUACUUGGUGUUACUGCGAAGGGGGGACGGAGAAGGCUAUGUUGGCCGGGCGACGGUUGUCCCGGUUUAAGCGUGUAGGCUGGUUUUCCAGGCAAAUCCGGAAAAUCAAGGCUGAGGCGUGAUGACGAGGCACUACGGUGCUGAAGCAACAAAUGCCCUGCUUCCAGGAAAAGCCUCUAAGCAUCAGGUAACAUCAAAUCGUACCCCAAACCGACACAGGUGGUCAGGUAGAGAAUACCAAGGCGCUUGAGAGAACUCGGGUGAAGGAACUAGGCAAAAUGGUGCCGUAACUUCGGGAGAAGGCACGCUGAUAUGUAGGUGAAGCGACUUGCUCGUGGAGCUGAAAUCAGUCGAAGAUACCAGCUGGCUGCAACUGUUUAUUAAAAACACAGCACUGUGCAAACACGAAAGUGGACGUAUACGGUGUGACGCCUGCCCGGUGCCG
rnacentral:rRNA from 1 species